CUGCAUCCUCUGAUAGACCUUGAACAAAUUGUUGUUCUUUUGCUUUGCACUAGGAUGCAAAAAAAAAACUCCCUGAAUUUUCUGUGUCUUUGUGGAGGCCCAGGGGACUACAUAU
rnacentral:snoRNA from 1 species